UGGGUUUUAAAAUUAGAAGUUACUAGAAUAUUAUAGAAUGAGGGUUUGGAUAGGUGAAAGGUCAAAAGUUGUAAGUGGGAUUUUAAUUAUGUUGUUAGUGGGAUUUUAAGGUCAUAAUGUAGAUCUUUCUAGAAGAGCUUACUAAAGCCUAUAAAAAGGAUGCUCUAUCAUUUGUAAGAUGCACCACAGAAAGAAAUACAAUAGAG
rnacentral:lncRNA from 1 species